rnacentral:rRNA from 1 species
AGUGAACGCUGGCGGUAGGCCUAACACAUGCAAGUCGAACGGCAGCACAGUAAGAGCUUGCUCUUACGGGUGGCGAGUGGCGGACGGGUGAGGAAUACAUCGGAAUCUACUUUUUCGUGGGGGAUAACGUAGGGAAACUUACGCUAAUACCGCAUACGACCUACGGGUGAAAGCAGGGGAUCUUCGGACCUUGCGCGAUUGAAUGAGCCGAUGUCGGAUUAGCUAGUUGGCGGGGUAAAGGCCCACCAAGGCGACGAUCCGUAGCUGGUCUGAGAGGAUGAAGAGCCCCACUGGAACUGAGACACGGCCCUGACUCCUACGGGAGGCAGCAGUGGCGAAUAUUGGACAAUGGGCGCAAGACUGAUCCAGCCAUACCGCGUGGGUGAAGAAGGCCUUCGGGUUGUAAAGCCCUUUUGUUGGGAAAGAAAAGCAGCAGGUUAAUACCCCGCUGUUCUGACGGUACCCAAAGAAUAAGCACCGGCUAACUUCGUG